rnacentral:rRNA from 1 species
UACGUAGGGUGCAAGCGUUGUCCGGAAUGAUUGGGCGUAAAGGGUCCGCAGGUGGCAAUGUGUGUCUGCUGUCAAAGAAUGAGGCUUAACCUCAUCAAGGCAGUGGAAACUACAUAGCUAGAGUAAGGUAGGGGUAGAGGGAAUUCCUGGUGUAGCGGUGAAAUGCGUAGAGAUCAGGAAGAACACCGGUGGCGAAAGCGCUCUGCUGGACCUUAACUGACACUGAGGGACGAAAGCUAGGGGAGCGAAUGGG